GAUUUGGGGUGGGGGGACCCCCACGGGGGGACCCCAUUGCCGAACCCCGAUGUGGGGUUGGGGGCCGCUGCGGAUCCGGAGGUGGGCACUUCUUGGGGUGAGUGGUGCGGUGUAGGAGCAGCUCUGUGGUUGUGGAGUCUGUGGGGUGGGGGGGAUUUGGGGUGGGGGGGAUUUGGGGUGGGGGGACCCCCACGGGGGGACCCCAUUGCCGGACCCCAAUGUGGGGUUGGGGGCCGCCGCGGCUCCGCAGGUGGGAGGUGGGCACUUCUUGGGGUGAGUGCUGCGGUGUAGGGGCAGCUCUGAGGUUGUGGAGUCCGUGGGGUGGGGGGGAUUUGGGGUGGGGGGUUUGGGGUGGGGGCUGCUGUGGUGUUAUGGGUGGGGGACCCUCAGCCUAUGGCUUUUGGGUGGGGAGUGGGAUUUGGGGUGGGGUCUUCUAUGGUGCUAUGGUGGGUUAUCGUCACCCCAUGGCUUUGGAGCCAAUGCGGUGGUUGGGAUUGGGUUGGGGAGGGAUUUGGGGUGGGGGCUGCUGUGGUGCUAUGGGUUUGGGGACCCUCACCCCAUGGCUUUGGGGCCCACGCAGUGUAUGGCGGUCAGGGCUGCAUCAGCCAUCUCUGAGCAUCUCCUCUGUGGGGUCUGUGGGGUUUGUGGGGUCUGUGGGGUCUGUGGGGUCUGUGGGGUCUGUGGGGUCGGCCCCACUGCCCCCCGAGUGGCCGUAG
rnacentral:lncRNA from 7 species